rnacentral:lncRNA from 10 species
GUGCGAGGGAGAGGAGGAGAGGAGAGGAGCCUACCAUGCGCUUCCCCCGGUGCAGAUCGCGGGAGAGCCCAAUCACGGGGCGAGCUGGACCUGGCUGUGAUCAUUUAUAAUCCUUGACUCCUCCGCUCCGCCACUUGUCAAGAUGACAGGUUCAGUGCUAGAAUUUCUGCGUUGGAUGGAUCAAGAAUCUACGGGGAGCCAAGUCACUUAAAAGUAUCAGUUAUUCCCAAUAUUCCCUUCAUCUAAUGAAGUUCCUCCAAAUUUCAUGAUCCUUGUGACAAUCCACCCCAGACUAUGGUGAGAGACCCAGAGCUGCAGCAGUUUUGGUUGUGGUUAUUCUGACAUUGACCCGAAGGGAGCAAGAAUGUUUCUCAGGAGAUCACAAACUCCUGGAAGGCAAGACAUGUGUAUGUUACACAGCUCACAGGCAAACGAUUGAUAUACAAUCGGUUUUAGGAUGGAGAGAAGUUGAAGCCAACCCAGUCUGAGUGGUAAGGGUGAAAGAGAGACAUUUUAUCGUAAUAAAAGUCUUCAUUGAUUAGGAACUUAGAACAGCUCCAACAA